CAAACAUGCAAGUCGAGCGGAUCUUUGGGAGCUUGCUCCCAAAGAUUAGCGGCGGACGGGAUGAGUAACACGUGGGCAAUCUGCCUGUAAGACUGGGAUAACUUCGGGAAACCGGAGCUAAUACCGGAUAAUAUUGAGAACCGCAUGGUUCUCUAUUAAAAGAUGGNUUCNGCUAUCACUUACGAUGA
rnacentral:rRNA from 1 species